GUGCUCGCUUCAGCAACACAUACUAAAAUUGGAUCAAGUCAGAGAAAAUUAGCAUGGCCCCUGUGCAUGGAUGACAUGUAAAUUCAUGAAGCAUUCCAUAUUUUU